rnacentral:lncRNA from 1 species
GACAAACAAAUUAACCUAGAGGAAGCAUAGUUUUGACCAUCUUAACAAUCAUCUAGAACACACAAGUUACAAAAAGAUAAGGACUAUUGGUUACUAUGAGAGACUUCAGAUGGUCCAGAACACACAAGUUUGUAUCUACAUGCACAAAGUGCAAGCUCCAAAACACUCGAAACACCAAAUGGUCUACAAGACAAUAAGGUCCAUGAUUACAGGUUGGUUGGU